rnacentral:tRNA from 1 species
GCGGGUAUCGUAUAAAGGCUAUUAUGCAACCUUGCCAUGGUUGAGAUACGGGUUCAAUUCCCGUUACCCGCUCCA